rnacentral:lncRNA from 1 species
UUGAGCAGUUUUUCUCAUCUUCAUUCUAUGGCUGCACCAUCCCAGAGUCGGGAUAACUUGAAUUUUUAUUUUAUUAUUGUAAGCACUUUUAUUUACCCAUGUUCUUUCAUUCUUACUAUGCAUUUUAAAAGCUAUUUUCAAUGCACUUUUUUUUAGCAUGUGUGUGUGUGUGUGUGUGUUUGUAUAUGUUUGCACAGAUACCACAGCUUUUGUGCAGAAGUCAAGGGACAUCUUGCUUUCCCAUCUACAAACUCCUCUGAACUCCCUCCUUCCCUCCCUCCCACCCUUUCUCCCUCCUCCUCUCCUUCCCUUCCUCCCCUCCUUCCUUCCUCCUGACUCUGUGAAAGUCCAGCUUAUCCACCAGGCUCAUGGUCCCAACUCUGUGGGACUCAGGGAUUAAGAGCUGUUUCUCCUUCCUCUCCUGGUUUUUCUCUUUAUGAUGAUGCAGAACUUCACUCCCUUCUCUGAGAUCCUCUUCAGCUGUGGGGGGUGUAAGACUCCGCUUUGCUGUCCGAGUUACAGGAAGGAGAAAAUUAACUUAACGCCUGCUUGCAUUCUGGCCCCUUGUUCCUCAAUCCACUGUCAUCUAAAUAUUUUUUAAGAAUUGUUUUUAGAGAGCUAGGCAUCACAGUAGCGUGUACCUUUAAUAAUCCCAGCACUUGAGAGACAGAGGCAGGAGGAUAUCUGUGAAUUUGAGGUCAACCUGCUAGGACUACAUAGAGAGACCCUGUCUCAAAAAGCAAACCAACAAACAGAAUUGUUUUUCAAGGCUGAGGAGAGAGCCCAGUGCCUAAAGGGCUUGCUGCAUAUGCCAGAGGACCAAAGUUUAAAUUGUUAGAAGCCAAGUGGGCAUUGUGGCCCACUACUGGGACUAGCCAUAUUGGUGAGCUGAGUCUGAUUGAGAGACCUUGCCUCUCAAUGAAUAAUGUGGAGGAGUGCUUGAAUGUGCCUAUUACCAACACCAGGCCUCCACAUGCACGCAGACACAUGUAUACCUGCACACACACACACACACACACACACACACACACACACACCACAUACCACAUUCAAAGAACAUGCAUAUAACACACAUGGCAAUGGAAAAAGAAAAAGGAAUAUGUUGGUCACAUGUAUUGAUUAUGCACAUUGACUGAGGCCAUUGUGACAGUUCAGUGCAUGUUCUGUGAUCUGGUUUCUGGUCACAUAACCCCUUGGAAAGUCCUGGACAAGGUCAUACAAUGGUUAUAGUGGCCUGCCCAGUUUACACGUCUUAGUUCUUGUCUGUGGGACCUGGGGCUCCCCUGUUAUUCUAGGCUGGCUGACUUACAGGUGCUCUUGUCUCAGCCACCCUGUUGCUAGGAUACCAAGCCAUCGCACCACUCUUUAAAAAUGAUUUAUUUUUAUGUGUUUGAAUGUUUGCUUGCAUAGUAUAUCUGUGUGUCACUGGUGAGCAGUGCCUGUUGAGGCCAGAAGAAGGUGCCGGAGCCUCUGGAACUGGAGUUACAGGUGGUUAUGAGUCACUACCUGGGGGCUGGGAGCCAACCUGGUGCUCCUCCACAACCUGGUGCUCCUCCACAACCUGGUGCUCCUCCACAGUAGCCACAAGUGCUUUUAACUGCUGAGCCUUCCAUUCAGCCUUCAGUCUCCUGACUUGGGUCCUCGGGCUUGCAAAUAUUCAUCUGACUGAGCAAACUCCAGCCUCAAUAACUAGAGUUUUUUUCUUUAAAAAAAAACAAUGAUGUUUAUGUUUACAUAUGUGUAUUCGUGCAUUUGUCUGUGGUGCAUGCAGAGGCCAGAAGGGAGUGUCAGGCAAUUGUGAACCAACUGAUGUGGGUGCUUGCUGGGUGGGGUUCAGCCCUGCAAAGAGUGGGGUCAGGAAGGACAGGGAUACCUGGUAGGAGAAUAAGAAAACACACAGUUGAGAUACAAUACUGACAGGCUUGUUGAUUUUUUUUUUUAAGAGCCUUUUGAACUUGGGAGUUCGAAUGCCCAUUUAGACUUGACUUAGUCCCAGUUUCUUAUUGAAAUUAUACAAGGAAGUUGAAUUAUAAAGUUUAUAGGGGGGUGGGUAAGUGCUUUUUAAUUUUUUUGUGCUAACUUUUUUUUAUGACACAGAUUAGUACAGAUUUUG